UAAAAAUGGGCCUUGGGACAUAAGUAC
rnacentral:piRNA from 1 species